CCUACGGGUGGCAGCAGUGGGGAAUCUUGCGCAAUGGGCGAAAGCCUGACGCAGCGACGCCGCGUGGGGGAUGACGGCCUUCGGGUUGUAAACCUCUUUCAGCAGGGAAGCGGUACCUGCAGAAGAAGCACCGGCUAACUACGUGCCAGCAGCCGCGGUAAUACGUAGGGUGCAAGCGUUGUCCGGAAUUAUUGGGCGUAAAGAGCUCGUAGGUGGCGGGUCACGUCGGGUGUGAAAGCCCGGGGCUUAACCCCGGGUCUGCAUUCGAUACGGGCCUGCUAGGGUCCGGCAGGGGAGACUGGAAUUCCUGGUGUAGCGGUGAAAUGCGCAGAUAUCAGGAGGAACACCGGUGGCGAAGGCGGGUCUCUGGGCGGACCGACGCUGAGGAGCGAAAGCGUGGGGAGCGAACAGGAUUAGAUACCCUUGUAGUC
rnacentral:rRNA from 1 species